UACGAAGGGGGCUAGCGUUGCUCGGAAUCACUGGGCGUAAAGGGUGCGUAGGCGGGUCUUUUAAGUCAGGGGUGAAAUCCUGGAGCUCAACUCCAGAACUGCCUUUGAUACUGAGGAUCUUGAGUUCGGGAGAGGUGAGUGGAACUGCGAGUGUAGAGGUGAAAUUCGAUGAGAUAUUCGCAAGAACACCAGUGGCGAAGGCGGCUCACUGGCCCGGUACUGACGCUGAGGUGCGAAAGCGUGGGGAGCAAACAGG
rnacentral:rRNA from 1 species